ensembl:lncRNA
UUUGGAAAUAGUAAUGAACGUGUCCGGGACAUGUGUAGCUAUAAAAUAAGUAAAGAUAAAACUGAGUUUUACUUUACUUCACUUUGCUAAGACAUAUUCACGUUUGAUGUGGUAUGCAGAAAGUGGCGCAAUAGGAUAUUGUGCAGAGAAUAAGGCGUAUUCACGUUUGAUGUGGUAUGCGAUGUACAUAGGAGUGAAUCAAAGUGUGGACAACAUCAAAUGCGAGCAAUAGGUAGAAUAAAUGAAGAUUAGGUCAUCCAAUAUGCAUAGUUAGUGUAGGACAAUCGGGUAGUAUGAUGAAGGUAACUGUUAUUAUGAGAUACGGUUAACACAGAAGUGAUAUUGAACAUGCAAAUUUUAACAUUGUUAAUUCCCUUUUACAUCUUUUUGGUUAUAGCAACUUGGUUGAACUACGGUGUUGUUAUCUUUGGUUGUCAUUCAAUGCACAUGGCUGAAGCAAUGCGCAAGGAGGGAUGUAGUGUGAAAUUAAACCAAAGUAGAUACUGUAAAACAAUUAAAAUUAGAAUUCAUGGAAAUAUGUUUUUGAACAACUAACUGCUGUACAUGAGUUUGUAUUUCUGCAAUAGAAGCAAAAGUUCCAGAACCAGAUGCAGACACACCCGGAGCCUACAAACUACCACCGCCGAGCAAGGACUAACAGUCACAUGAGGAGAUCAAAUAACAGCAGGAUUUGAAUCGCACCGGAUGGGUUGGUGGCCAGGCGCUGGUAUGAUUACAAUCCCUCAGGCCACCUGUUGCUGACACGACGACGACGGAGAACCUGUUUGGAGGCUCCCAUGAUGUAGGAGUAACCUCUCUGAGUUGAGCCCUUGACAAGGAGGGAUGAGUCUUGGGUUCAUGAACUACAGGCCCGACGGCGACAGAAUCCAUGCCCAAACCACCCACAUGCAACAGCGAACCAAUGCACGAAGAUCACCUGAACCACCCGAAUCCAUGCUAGGCUAUCAAUAAUCUUGAAUUUUUUAAAAUUGUAUUAUGACUACCAAUUUUUACUUUACUUUUGCACAUGAUGAAAAUUGUAUGACCUUGUAGCACAUGACCAAAAAGUAUUAGCUCAGGAUUUCUAUGGAUAGUUUUGUUUGUGUGCUGUUUGGCCAUGUGAUUGUAUGUUAACAAGAUUUGUGUUCAUUGUUGUAUUGUUAAAUAAUGACCUGUAUUUCCAAUAAGACCCACAACGUGAAUGCCGUCUCAGUAUUAUGGGGACGCGUAGUGGUUUUUCCCCUCUCUUCAAGAGGUCUUUCCGCGACGGUUGAUGGUGUUGAUGAUUGAUCCUACUUUGACUAUGUUUUCGGUGUGGUAAAUGGUGUUUAUGAUUUAAAAUAUUAUUGUAUGGUCAUCUAAGAUGACCAAGGAGGGACUGUUACGUAUUUUAAGAAUCCAAGCCACCCACACAUAGACCCUAUGAUGCAGGACCAAACAUAUAAGCUGCGUUACCCUCACAUAGCCACAAGGGGAGCAUGAUGUUAUUGAAGGCUGCUCCUCUUCACCUUUAAUUAAGUGAAGAAGCCGAAGCCAUAACGUCACCCCGGCCACGCCCACUAGGCAACGCCCACUUCAUAGGCCACACCCACUUGACGUCCUGUAUGCAGGACGUCGAGUGAACAGGCCAGAGUUCAAUAGGUAGACGGCGCAGCAAGCCACCCGGGCCUUAGCCCGGGGGGCUUGAAGUAGAUCACGGUAUUUUCCUCUCACUCGC